GAUGAACGCUGGCGGCAUGCCUAAUACAUGCAAGUCGAGCGAACGGACGAGAAGCUUGCUUCUCUGAUGUUAGCGGCGGACGGGUGAGUAACACGUGGAUAACCUACCUAUAAGACUGGGAUAACUUCGGGAAACCGUAGCUAAUACCGGAUAAUAUUUUGAACCGCAUGGUUCAAAAGUGAAAGACGGUCUUGCUGCCACUUAUAGAUGGAUCCGCGCUGCAUUAGCUAGUUGGUAAGGUAACGGCUUACCAAGGCAACGAUGCAUAGCCGACCUGAGAGGGUGAUCGGCCACACUGGAACUGAGACACGGUCCAGACUCCUACGGGAGGCAGCAGUAGGGAAUCUUCCGCAAUGGGCGAAAGCCUGACGGAGCAACGCCGCGUGAGUGAUGAAGGUCUUCGGAUCGUAAAACUCUGUUAUUAGGGAAGAACAUAUGUGUAAGUAACUGUGCACAUCUUGACGGUACCUAAUCAGAAAGCCACGGCUAACUACGUG
rnacentral:rRNA from 1 species